GGAACAGACACACACACACACACACUGUCCCCAGCCGCUCGUCCUGAACGGGGUCGGGGCGAGCCGAAGCCUUACCCGCCAAUGCAGGGCGCAAGGCCGAAGAAGGAGGGGACACACCCUAGACGGGGGAGAUACUAUAUGAGAAAUGUGCAGUGGGACCUUGAAGAAAUACUGUAGCAGUGGCUGUUACUCCUUGAUCUGGACUUGGACUGUGUGCUCUGUAACCAGACUGAGAUGUGAACAAGAUCCCAACAUCUUUGCUUAAGAAAAAUGAAAGCGUGCAGCAAGUCUCUGCUGAUGCUGAUCAGAGGGAAGAAGGCUCUGAGGGCCAGGAUGGGCCAGAUGAGGAGAAGUCUGUCCCUGUGGCCCAUGGACUGCAUGGAUGCUCAGCUGGACUUGGACCCUGGAAUCUGGCUCCGCAGUUUCCAGCUCCUGAAAGAGCACCAUGGCAUGUGUAGUGAAAUACCAUGGAAACAGAAAAGUACGUGAAUGUGUGUUUGGGGUAACUCCCAUCACUGAGCCGCACCCC
rnacentral:lncRNA from 1 species